rnacentral:rRNA from 1 species
GCUUACGGCCACACCACCCUGAACACGCCUGAUCUCGUUCGAUCUCGGAAGCUAAGCAGGGUCGGGCCUGGUCAGUACUUGGAUGGGAGACCGCCUGGGAAUAGCAGGUGCUGUAAGCC